CACGUAGGGCGCAAGCGUUGUCCGGAAUUAUUGGGCGUAAAGAGCUCGUAGGCGGUCUGUUGCGUCUGCUGUGAAAACCCGGGGCUUAACCCCUGGCUUGCAGUGGAUACGGACAGACUAGAGGUAGGUAGGGGAGAAUGGAAUUCCCGGUGUAGCGGUGAAAUGCGCAGAUAUCGGGAGGAACACCGGUGGCGAAGGCGGCGAUCUGGGUCGAUACUGACGCUGAGGUGCGAAAGCGUGGGGAGCAAACAGG
rnacentral:rRNA from 1 species